UACGGAGGGUGCAAGCGUUAUCCGGAUUCACUGGGUUUAAAGGGAGCGUAGGUGGGCUUGUAAGUCAGUGGUGAAAUCUCCGUGCUUAACACGGAAACUGCCAUUGAUACUAUAGGUCUUGAAUUUUCUGGAGGUUAGCGGAAUAUGUCAUGUAGCAGUGAAAUGCUUAGAUAUGACAUAGAGCACCAAUUGCGAAGGCAGCUAACUACAGGGAUAUUGACACUGAGGCUCGAAAGCGUGGGGAGCGAACAGG
rnacentral:rRNA from 1 species